GGAGAGGUGGCUGAGUGGUUUAAGGCGAUAGACUGUAAAUCUAUUGAUAAUCAAUCUUCGUAGGUUCGAAUCCUGCUCUCUUCA
rnacentral:tRNA from 1 species